rnacentral:rRNA from 1 species
AGCGUUGUCCGGAAUUAUUGGGCGUAAAGAGCUCGUAGGCGGUCUGUCGCGUCGGUCGUGAAAACUUGGGGCUUAACCCUGAGCUUGCGGUCGAUACGGGCAUGACUGGAGUUCGGCAGGGGAGACUGGAAUUCCUGGUGUAGCGGUGAAAUGCGCAGAUAUCAGGAGGAACACCGGUGGCGAAGGCGGGUCUCUGGGCCGAUACUGAUGCUGAGGAGCGAAAGCGUGGGGAGCGAACAGG